UACGAAGGGGGCUAGCGUUGUUCGGAAUUACUGGGCGUAAAGGGCGCGUAGGCGGUCCUGAUCGUCGGAUGUGAAAGGCCUGGGCCCAACCUGGGAAUGGCAUCCGAUACGGCGGGACUGGAGUGUGGGAGAGGUUGGUGGAAUUCCCAGUGUAGAGGUGAAAUUCGUAGAUAUUGGGAAGAACACCGGUGGCGAAGGCGGCCAACUGGACCACAACUGACGCUGAGGCGCGAAAGCGUGGGGAGCAAACAGG
rnacentral:rRNA from 1 species